rnacentral:rRNA from 1 species
CCUACGGGAGGCAGCAGUGGGGAAUAUUGGGCAAUGGAGGAAACUCUGACCCAGCAAUGCCGCGUGAAUGAAGAAGGUCUUCGGAUUGUAAAGUUCUUUAGUCAGGGAAGAAUAAAAUGAUGGUACCUGAAGAAUAAGCGUCGGCUAAAUACGGGCCAGCAGCCGCGGUAAUACGGAGGGAGCAAGCGUUUGUCGGAAUGAAUGGGCGUAAAGGGUGCGUAGGCGGUUAUACAAGUUAGAAGUGAAAUACCCAGGGCUUAACUCUGGGGUUGCUUCUAAAACUGUAAGGCUUGAGUGCAGUAGAGGUAAGUGGAAUUCCUAGUGUAGCGGUGGAAUGCGUAGAGAUUAGGAGGAACACCAGAGGCGAAGGCAGCUAACUGGGCUGCAUCUGACGCUGAGGCACGAAAGUGUGGGGAGCAAACAGGAUUAGAUACCCGAGUAGUC